UGGAUUAGUUACAACUCCUAAAUGAGUCGCCAACUCUUUUGAUAGUCGAUUGAUCGCUUUGAGUCAUUUUUUAUGUAAAAACAAUGACACUUGUGUGAUGUCAGCUCGUUAAAUGUGAUAAUUUUUCUAGUUUGUUCUCUUCUCUGGGACAGUAGACCGGACAUCUUUGAGUUGUGGACAAAACGAGACAUUUGAAGACGUCAUCUUGUACUUUUUGGGAAACAUUG